UUUAAUUUUCUUAAAAUUUUGACAAAGUAUUUACUUUGACCCUUUUACAAAAAUAUAAAAAUUUCAAAAAAUUUGAACCAACCGUUUUAUCAGAAAAAUUACACUGGUUAUAUAGCAGUUUGGCAAACACUUAUUUUGAUCAUUGAGAAGCUUAAUAUUCCCUUAACAACACAACCUAAUUAAAACGUUUAGAUGAUUUUACAGAGUUAUCUCCCUGUAGUGUUAGG
rnacentral:lncRNA from 1 species